UACAGAGGUCCCAAGCGUUGUUCGGAUUCACUGGGCGUAAAGGGUGCGUAGGUGGUGAGGUAAGUCGGAUGUGAAAGCUCGGAGCUCAACUCCGAAAUGGCAUUGGAAACUACCUUGCUCGAGGGUUGGAGGGGGGAGUGGAAUACUUGGUGUAGCAGUGAAAUGCGUAGAUAUCAAGUGGAACACCAGUGGCGAAGGCGAGUCCCUGGACAACUACUGACACUGAGGCACGAAAGCUAGGGGGGCAAACAGG
rnacentral:rRNA from 1 species